rnacentral:tRNA from 1 species
ACCUUCGUGGUGUAGUGGUAAGCACACUCGACGCGUAUUUGAGAGGUCCGUGGUUCGAAUCUCGGUUAAGGAA